ncrna:Nicotiana tabacum cultivar TN90 Ntab-TN90_scaffold1637, whole genome shotgun sequence
CGAGUUUGACCAUACUAGUACUAACACACUAGAUAAAUCAAAACUCCAUAGUAAAACGUGCUUCGGUUAGUGUGGUACUAGGAUGGGUUAUCCCUGGUAAGUCCUGGUGUUGCAUCGU